rnacentral:lncRNA from 1 species
UACAAUCGCUCAAGAUCCCAUUUUCUCUUCUUUCUUUUUCAAAAUCACUGCUAUGUACCAUUACUGUAGCUGGCAAAUACUAGUGGGUUUUGAAGGGGAAGAAGAGGCAUCACCAGCUGGUAGUGAGUCCGGCGAGAUCCGGCCUGAAUUGACCCAAAAAUAGGUUGUCGUGUGGCAGAAAAAAGGAGAAAAUAGGGGAGACACCGAAAAGAGGUUCACCGGCGGUGAGGGUAGGGGGUUCGGCGGCGUAAUGGAGUUCGCUGACAUUCGCGUCCGACUAGUGGCUGAAAUUCACCGGAAAAAAUGUCAGCUAGACUGAACUUUAGCGGUUUUCCAGCGGGUUUGACCAGAUCUGAUGGGUUUUUGGCCUGGCAUGAUGUUUCUUCUUGCCAGCGACUAAAUCUGGCGAAGUACAAUGAAGAGAUGGAGUCAGCAGUCAUGUUUUUCAGCGAGUUAUCGCCGGAUAAAUAUUUUUUUUACUGUUUUCUCUUUGUUAUUCACUAAUUUUUUAUUAUUUCUCCUCGUUUUUUUCUUUAAUGUUUUACACUCGACCUCUCUUCUCAUUGAUUUUUCUGUUUAAUUUUUUUCUCUUUGUUUUUCUCCUAUAUUUUCACUAAUAUUUUCCUCAUUUUCAUACCAUAUUUUUGUAUGUAUGCGAGUGUGUACCCAUAGUAUGUGCGUGAGUUUUUAGUUUUGUUGUGUACGAGUAUUAUAUUAUGUGGUGUGUGUUUUUCUGAGAGUGACCAAUUGUUGAAUUUGUUGUUAUAUUCCAGCGAAUAGAAAAAUGGAG